rnacentral:rRNA from 1 species
AUUGAACGCUGGCGGCAUGCUUUACACAUGCAAGUCGAACGGCAGCGCGGGGGCAACCCUGGCGGCGAGUGGCGAACGGGUGAGUAAUGUAUCGGAACGUAUCCUGUAAUGGGGGAUAACCAGUCGAAAGAUUGGGUAAUACCGCAUACGCACGAGAGUGGAAAGUAGGGGAUCGCAAGACCUUACGUUAUAGGAGCGGCCGAUAUCUGAUUAGCUAGUUGGUGGGGUAAAGGCCUACCAAGGCGACGAUCAGUAGCUGGUCUGAGAGGAUGAUCAGCCACACUGGGACUGAGACACGGCCCAGACUCCUACGGGAGGCAGCAGUGGGGAAUUUUGGUAC